CGCUGGCGGCAUGCCUAACACAUGCAAGUCGAACGAGACCUUCGGGUCUAGUGGCGCACGGGUGCGUAACGCGUGGGAACCUGCCUUUAGGUUCGGAAUAACUCAGAGAAAUUUGAGCUAAUACCGGAUAAUGUCUUCGGACCAAAGAUUUAUCGCCUUUAGAUGGGCCCGCGUUGGAUUAGCUAGUUGGUGGGGUAAAGGCCUACCAAGGCGACGAUCCAUAGCUGGUCUGAGAGGAUGAUCAGCCACACUGGGACUGAGACACGGCCCAGACUCCUACGGGAGGCAGCAGUGGGGAAUAUUGGACAAUGGGCGAAAGCCUGAUCCAGCAAUGCCGCGUGAGUGAUGAAGGCCUUAGGGUUGUAAAGCUCUUUUACCCGAGAUGAUAAUGACAGUAUCGGGAGAAUAAGCACCGGCUAACUUCGUG
rnacentral:rRNA from 1 species